rnacentral:rRNA from 1 species
AACGAACGCUGGCGGCAUGCCUAACACUUGCAAGUCGAACGAGACCUUCGGGUCUAGUGGCGCACGGGUGCGUAACGCGUGGGAACCUGCCCUUAGGUUCGGAAUAACUCCCCGAAAGGGGUGCUAAUACCGGAUAAUGUCUUCGGACCAAAGAUUUAUCGCCUUUGGAUGGGCCCGCGUUGGAUUAGCUAGUUGGUAGGGUAAAAGCCUACCAAGGCGACGAUCCAUAGCUGGUCUGAGAGGAUGAUCAGCCACACUGGGACUGAGACACGGCCCAGACUCCUACGGGAGGCAGCAGUGGGGAAUAUUGGACAAUGGGCGAAAGCCUGAUCCAGCAAUGCCGCGUGAGUGAUGAAGGCCUUAGGGUUGUAAAGCUCUUUUACCCGGGAUGAUAAUGACAGUACCGGGAGAAUAAGCGCCGGCUAACUCCGUG